UUUAAGAACACAAGAUGGUUUAAUGUUGAUGUGAAGCUGUUGGCUGGACUCAUAGCAAAUCCCCAUCCAGCCCCUGAUCUGGGCUGAACGCUGCUGCACAUAUAGGUUUUGUGUGGGGUGUUUGAGAAAACCCAGAGGGACCGAAUCUGAGUUGCUGUGAGGUAGAGCGGUGUUGCCAGCACAGGAGGGAGCCAUAGUCUGGGGACCUCACUCAGUGGAAGUAGCAGCUCGGAGCCACAGACAACAAAUACCUAGGGAGUGCCUACCUGUGCCGGAUGCUCACCUGGGAUGCCUUACAGUCUAGUGGCAGAGAAUACGUGGAAGAGUCUUAACCUCCUCACUGGACAAAUGAGGAAUCUGAGGCCUUGAAAGAGGACGACCCCAGCAGGGAGAGUGUGACACAACAAAGCUCCAUAUCACGACCCGAGAACCUAAUUCCAGGCAAGAUGAGGCCGCCCUAUGGUGGAGAAAGUGUCGUUCUAGUCUCCGCUAUGCUGCUCCCUCUCUGGGGACCUGGGCCACAGAAUGUCACCUAGCAGGGCCUUAGCCUCCCCAUCUGUGGAAUGGGGAUUCUGGGCCCUGUCUGCUAUCCACUUCACUGGACCGUUGUAAGUCUCCAAAGGGACUGCAUGCUUGAAAGCACGGGUCACAGGGAGGGUGUCAAGAUGCUGGCUCGGGGACUAACCUUCCCUGGAGAACAUGUAUGCAUUUUAAAAGGAACCACAGGUAGCCUUAACCCACCAGCAUCGGUCACAGACUCAUCUCAGGCCUUGGCCGGUGAAACUUAAACAUCAGAAGAUAGGUCUGUGCUUCACUGUGGCACCCACCAAACCCUGCACAGUGUGGGGAGACUGGGCUGGGACUGGCAGGGCUGGCCGCAGGCUGCAGCACACCCGGGUGUGGUUCGGGGACACACUAGGCAGGACGUUCUUCUAUGAAUGUCAUCCAGCCGCCGUAGCUCCCUUCCUGAACUCAUCCAGUGCCACAGCUAGGAUAGCCCUUCAAGACAACAUGUGCAUGCUCCCAGCUUGCGUAGAUCGUGGAGCUAAAGCCCCAAGUCGGGGGAAGGCGUUAAAAGAGAGGGAGAGCUCCCCGCAGAAACCUGGACACGGCAGAGGAUCGGAUCCAGGUGCUUGACUCCCAGGUCAGGAGUUUCUGAGGCUGAUAGCCUCAGGUACAAGUAUCCUGGGAGAGGCCACACCUUUUUUUUUUUUUUUUUUAAA